rnacentral:antisense_RNA from 1 species
GCCACUCCUAGCUAUGUAACCAAAUGAAGAGUACACAUGUGCUCCGAGAGACACACACGGGAAUAUUCAGAACCUUUUCUGUAAUAGCUAUAAACUGAAAGCAGCACACGUCCAAAAGGAAAAUGAAUAAACAAAUACAGCAUAUUCAUACAAUAGAAUCCUAUAUAGAGCAACUAAAAUAACAGCUAGAGGCAACAACACGGAUGGAUCUUACAAGCCUGAUGUGGAACAAGAGAAGCCCGUUCAGAGACUAAGUGAAUGGAUUUAUGUGGUAUGCAAAAACAGGCAAAACCAAAUUAUAGUGUUUUGGGAGGUAUGCUUACAUAGUAAAGCUCUGAAGGAAAACAAAGAAAAGGAGACUAAAGAGAAUGACAACUUACGCAAUGCAGAAUCCUGGAUUGGAUCCUAGAUCCAAUCAAUGUGUAGGGAUGCCGAUCCCACUCCAAAUCUAGAACAUCAUUCACAUCUUGGACAGCAAAUUUCACAUACUGAUGAAGGCGCCGAAUUUCCUAUAAGAAAACAAUUAAAAGUGUAUCAUGCCUAUAAUCCCAGCACUUUGGGAGGCUGAGGCAGGAGGAUUACUUGAGCCCAGGUGUUUGAGACCAGCCUGAGCAACAUAUCAUUCUGCAAAAUCUACAAGUGGAUAGCACACCACCACUACCUGGGCCCACCAUGUCCCUGCAAGAAAGACAACGUGAAAGAAGGUUCUUGUAUGCAAAGGUGCUUUGCUCUUUCUGACAGUUUUUCAAAGUCAAACAGAAAGUAUUUCUGGUGAAUCACAAUUUAGUGUCAUCUGCAUGUUUUUCUUUCAUAAUUGAGGAUGGAUUAUCAUUAAAUUGUAUAGAAGUAGGUUCAAGCAACAGGAAGAAAACAAAGA